UACAGAGGGUGCGAGCGUUGUCCGGAAUCACUGGGCGUAAAGGGCGCGUAGGUGGCGCGACAAGUCAGUGGUGAAAGCUCGACGCUCAACGUCGAGUCGGCCACUGAGACUGUUGGGCUUGAGCACUGUAGAGGCUAAUGGAAUUCCGGGUGUAGCGGUGGAAUGCGUAGAGAUCCGGAAGAACACCGGUGGCGAAGGCGGUUAGCUGGGCAGUUGCUGACACUGAGGCGCGACAGCGUGGGGGAGCAAACAGG
rnacentral:rRNA from 1 species